AGGGAAUAGGACCGCUACUGGGACGGACCAAGUAGGGUAGGACUGCCCCCCAAGCAAUGGGAACUAGCAAGGGCCAGGCUGAUGGCCAUGCUCCCCGGAAUCCAGGGGCAAAGAAGGGCAGGAACUCUUGGGUGGAGGAAGGUAAUGGGAAAAUAAGGGCUGUUUAGGGCAGAAAGGGCUGUGGAGAAAGGGUUAGGACUGUGGAAAGAAUGUGAGAGGAUUGUAAAGGGUCAUGGACACACAUUCCUGAGCAAGGUGAAAGCCUCGUGAGAGGAAGUUGUUCCUUAUCUCAGCACAAUUGUUACAAGUGAAAGAGCGCAGUGCUUUACUCUCUGCAGCCUUAAAGGAGGGACUGUGAAGAAACAGCAGAAGGGGCGGGAAGGAGGUGCCAACAACCAGAGCGUUGUGAUGUCCGCUCCUGACAUAUGAAUGGAGUUACAAAUCACCCUGCAGUGCUGUGUAAACGUUGCUGCUUGGAAACUAUGUGGGACUGAUUACAGUGUACAGACCUCGGAGAACAUUCCUGGUUUCCAACUGACCAAGACCAAGCCGGCUCCAGAUGAUAUACGGCUGGAGGUUUCUUUCUCUCUCUUUUAAAAAUAUGAAUCCUGUGAACCAAACGGUAAUGCUGAGAAAGGCUUCCACAAUGUUUUAAAGGUGAAUAACUAUUUUAACUAGUAUGUAAUGUCUUCCUUAAAAAAUAAAUUUAUUUUGGAUAGUUUCAAUGUCACACCAAAGCAGACAGAAUAAUAUAAUGAAUCCCUUAAGUGAAGACACUGGCAUGGGAUUUCA
rnacentral:lncRNA from 1 species